rnacentral:rRNA from 1 species
AUGACGGCUCGGUUUCUUAAAGGUGCUCAUAAGCACGCAAGACUUGGUUUCCGAGAUAUUCAUGUUUUUAACAUUGCUAUGCUUGCAAGGCAGGUGUGGCGUCUGAUUGAAAAUCCAGACAGCCUGUGCGCACAGCUCUUGAAGGCCAAGUACUACCCGAAGAGUUCUAUUCUGGAUGCGGGCCAGGUCACAAACAUGUCCUACGCGUGGUGCAGCAUCACCUACGGAAUUGACCUAGUCAAGUAAGGGAUGAUAUGGCGUGUGGGAGACGGGGCAAGCAUUCGCAUUUGGGACGAUCCAUGGAUACCCAGAGCUUGGUCUAGGCGAGUGAUCACCCCUCGUGGAGGAAAUCUUUUGACCAGGGUCUCUGAGCUCAUAGAUCCAUCGACCGGCAAGUGGGACACGGAACUGGUCCGAGGUAUCUUUUGGGAGGAGGAUGCGGAAUUGAUCCUUCAAAUGCCUCUACGAGAUGGAGCAGUUGACUUCCUGGCCUGGCACUUUGACCCCAAGGGUGUAUUCUCCGUCAAGCAGGCGUACAAGCUGAAGAGGGCACUAGCCGAGUCCGGGGCUGCACAAGGGGAUGGGAUUCCUUAG